rnacentral:lncRNA from 13 species
CUCAAUGAGGACGAAGGGGUGAUCUCCGAGUGCUCUUUGAUGAAGCGAACUCUGGAGCCAAACGCGAUGACAUGCCAGUGUCCUGGCCCCAUGAGCAGAUGGCCGGCAAGGGCUGUCAGGAGCCCUCACUGCCCAGCCGAUUGGGAUUUCAGGUUUGGGUUCCAGGGCUCAUCUGGCUCAACACGUGGUUUUAGCCACAAGGAAAUCACUGGAGAGGAAGAUCGUUCCCAAGGGUCCCUGCUGUGUCCUUCUAAGUGCGAAGCCCAGGGCGUUUGGCUCAGAUCAUCAGUGGCUGUUAAAGUGAAGUAA